UACGUAGGGUGCGAGCGUUGUCCGGAAUUAUUGGGCGUAAAGAGCUCGUAGGCGGUUUGUCGCGUCUGCUGUGAAAACGCGAGGCUCAACCUCGCGCCUGCAGUGGGUACGGGCAGACUAGAGUGCGGUAGGGGAGACUGGAAUUCCUGGUGUAGCGGUGAAAUGCGCAGAUAUCAGGAGGAACACCGAUGGCGAAGGCAGAUCUCUGGGCCGUAACUGACGCUGAGGAGCGAAAGCGUGGGGAGCGAACAGG
rnacentral:rRNA from 1 species